AAAGUACUCCAUCCGUCCCAAAAUUCUUGUCUUAGAUUUGUCUAGAUACGGAUGUAUCAAGUCACAUUUUAGUAUUAGAUACAUCCGUAUCUAGACAAAUCUAAGACAAGAAAUUUGGGACAGAGGGAGUAGUUG
rnacentral:pre_miRNA from 1 species